rnacentral:rRNA from 1 species
AUGGCGGCCAUCAUCUCCACCUCCUACUUCUCCUCGCAGCCGCAUCUGCCGGCGUCCAGCGCCACCGCUACAACCAGCAUCAGCAAAGGCCGGCAGCCGCGGAGGCAUCGGACGGGCAGCUGCGUCAUGCUCGAGGCGGCCUCCGGUGGUGGCGCGGUGGGGAGGACCAGGAGCCUGACGGAGGAGGACCUGGAGGAGCUCAAGGGCUGCCUCGACCUCGGAUUCGGAUUCUCCUACCAUGAGAUCCCGGGCCUCUGCGGGACGCUCCCUGGUCUGGAGCUCUGCUACUCCAUGACGCGGAGGUUCCUCGACGAGCAGAGGACUCUGGUCGGGCAGCUGGAGCCCGCCGCGGUGGCGGCGCCGCCCAUCCCGGACUGGAAGAUCUCCGGCCCUGGUGAUGAUCCAGACCAAGUGAAAGCUCGGCUCAAGUAUUGGGCGCAGACAGUGGCAUGCACAGUCAAACUCUGCAGCUAG